CUAGAAGGCAUCUGAAAGAGAUUAAAGAUUUAUCGGUGAUGGAUGGGGAUGCGUCUGAUUAGCUCGUUGGCGGGGUAACGGCCCACCAAGGCAACGAUCAGUAGGGGUUCUGAGAGGAAGGUCCCCCACAUUGGAACUGAGACACGGUCCAAACUCCUACGGGAGGCAGCAGUGAGGAAUAUUGGUCAAUGGACGAGAGUCUGAACCAGCCAAGUAGCGUGCAGGAAGACGGCCCUAUGGGUUGUAAACUGCUUUUAUAAGGGAAUAAAGUGAGUCUCGUGAGACUUUUUGCAUGUACCUUAUGAAUAAGGACCGGCUAAUUCCGUGCCAGCAGCCGCGGUAAUACGGAAGGUCCGGGCGUUAUCCGGAUUUAUUGGGUUUAAAGGGAGCGUAGGCCGGAGAUUAAGCGUGUUGUGAAAUGUAGACGCUCAACGUCCGCACUGCAGCGCGAACUGGUUUCCUUGAGUAUGCACAAAGUGGGCGGAAUUCGUGGUGUAGCGGUGAAAUGCUUAGAUAUCACGAAGAACUCCGAUUGCGAAGGCAGCUCACUGGAGCGCAACUGACGCUGAAGCUCGAAAGCGCGGGUAUCGAGCAGGAUUAGAUACCCUGGUAGUCCGCACGGUAA
rnacentral:rRNA from 1 species